CCAAUUGCGAAGGCAGCUUACUAAACCAAUACUGACGCUGAUGGACGAAAGCGUGGGGAGCGAACAGGAUUAGAUACCCUGGUAGUCCACGCCGUAAACGAUGAUUACUCGUUGCUAGCGAUAUACUGUUAGUGACCAAGCGAAAGUGUUAAGUAAUCCACCUGGGGAGUACGAUCGCAAGAUUGAAACUCAAAGGAAUUGACAGGGGCCCGCACAAGCAGUGGAGCAUGUGGUUUAAUUCGAUGAUACGCGAGGAACCUUACCAGGGCUUAAAUGUGCUAUGACCUCUCGGGAAACCGAGAUUCUCUUCGGAGCAAAGUACAAGGUGCUGCAUGGUUGUCGUCAGCUCGUGCCGUGAGGUGUCGGGUUAAGUCCCAUAACGAGCGCAACCCCUAUCUUUAGUUGCCAGCGAGUAAUGUCGGGGACUCUAAAGGAACUGCCCGCGUAAGCGGGGAGGAAGGUGGGGAUGACGUCAAAUCAUCACGGCCCUUACGUCCUGGGCUACACACGUGCUACAAUGGUGCAUACAGAGGGCAGCAACCUGGUGACAGGAAGCGAAUCUCGAAAGUGCAUCUCAGUUCGGAUUGAAGUCUGCAACUCGACUUCAUGAAGCCGGAAUUGCUAGUAAUCGCGCAUCAGCCAUGGCGCGGUGAAUACGUUCCCGGGCCUUGUACACACCGCCCGUCAAGCCAUGGAAGCUGGGAGUGCCUGAAGUCGGUAACCGCAAGGAGCUGCCUAGGGUAAAACUGGUGACUGGGGCUAAGUCGUAACAAGGUAACCGUA
rnacentral:rRNA from 1 species